GUCGGUCUGUUGUAACGGCAGCAUGCAGGUCUCCAAAACCUUGCGGAGUUGGUUCAAAUCCAGCGGCCCUCGCCA
rnacentral:tRNA from 1 species